AUUGAACGCUGGCGGCAUGCUUUACACAUGCAAGUCGAACGGUAACAGGCCGCAAGGUGCUGACGAGUGGCGAACGGGUGAGUAAUGCAUCGGAACGCGCCCAGUCGUGGGGGAUAACUACUCGAAAGAGUAGCUAAUACCGCAUACGAUCUAUGGAUGAAAGCGGGGGACCGUAAGGCCUCGCGCGAUUGGAGCGGCCGAUGUCAGAUUAGGUAGUUGGUGGGGUAAAGGCUCACCAAGCCAACGAUCUGUAGCUGGUCUGAGAGGACGACCAGCCACACUGGGACUGAGACACGGCCCAGACUCCCACGGGAGGCAGCAGUGGGGAAUUUUGGACAAUGGGCGCAAGCCUGAUCCAGCAAUGCCGCGUGCAGGAAGAAGGCCUUCGGGUUGUAAACUGCUUUUGUACGGAACGAAACGGCUCUGGUUAAUACCCGGGGCUAAUGACGGUACCGUAAGAAUAAGCACCGGCUAACUACGUG
rnacentral:rRNA from 1 species